rnacentral:lncRNA from 1 species
UUAGUACCGGAUGCGAUAGGAAAAAGUCGGUCUAAGGACGAUGUUUGAGGCCCGACAAUUUUAUUUAUAGUUCACGGAAAAAGGUUGAGUUUAGUCAGUACAGCGUUUUUGAAAAAGCCACUGAUCACAGAAAGCUGUCUCUUGUGAGCAAUCAAAUUAGAAAAAAUGGUCGAACAUUUAACACCAGAACAAUUAGCUCGAACUGGAUGGAAAUUGCAUUUCAAUACUGACACUAUUAAAGGACGAAGAAAUUUAGUUAUCGCAAACUUAGGCUUGUACUUCAGUGGAUUUCUUCUAUAUAAACUUCUUAAAAAAAAGGAAACACCAAAAAUAUCUAAUCACUAAUGUGUAAACAAAAAGUGUAAUGACAUGAAAUUGAAAUAAAGAUAUUUUAUGGUUAAAA